GCAUCAUGCAAGUGGAUCAUUCCGUCUCAAUCUGGCACCUGGGCCCAACCAUCUCCCAUCCCACUAGUACAGCCUGUGCAGAGACUGGGCAGGAAAGACUUUCACUGUACAAGGGAGGAAACUGCAGCCCAGGAAGGCUGGGGAGGCGCUCGCGAUCUCCCAGCAGGGGCAGUCGCCAGAGUGCGGGGACAAUGGUGCGCUAG
rnacentral:lncRNA from 1 species